GCAUUGGUGGUUCAGUGGUAGAAUUCUUGCCUGCCACGCGGGGCACCCGGGUCCGAUUGCCGGCUAAUGCA
rfam:Danio rerio chromosome 4, GRCz11 reference primary assembly.